rnacentral:rRNA from 1 species
CCUACGGGUGGCAGCAGUGAGGAAUAUUGGUCAAUGGGCGAGAGCCUGAACCAGCCAAGUCGCGUGAGGGAAGACGGUCCUAUGGAUUGUAAACCUCUUUUGUCGGGGAGCAACAAGGCCUCCUUAUGCCACUCGUCAGAGUACCCGCAGAAAAAGCCUCGGCUAACUCCGUGCCAGCAGCCGCGUUAAUACGGAGGAUGCGGGCGUUAUCCGGUUUUAUUGGGUUUAAAGGGUGCGUAGGCGGACUGGAAAGUCAGCGGUAAAAUCGAGAGGCUCAACCUCUUUCCGCCGUUGAAACUGUCGGUCUUGAGUGGGCGAGAAGUAGGCGGAAUGCGUGGUGUAGCGGUGAAAUGCAUAGAUAUCACGAAGAACUCCGAUUGCGAAGGCAGCAUACCGGCGCCCGACUGACGCUGAGGCACGAAAGCGUGGGUAUCGAACAGGAUUAGAUACCCGAGUAGUC